rnacentral:rRNA from 1 species
UGAUGCCAGCUUGCUGGUGGAUUAGUGGCGAACGGGUGAGUAACACGUGAGUAACCUGCCCUUAACUCUGGGAUAAGCCUGGGAAACUGGGUCUAAUACCGGAUAUGACCUUCCAUCGCAUGGUGGUUGGUGGAAAGCUUUUUGUGGUUUUGGAUGGACUCGCGGCCUAUCAGCUUGUUGGUGAGGUAAUGGCUUACCAAGGCGACGACGGGUAGCCGGCCUGAGAGGGUGACCGGCCACACUGGGACUGAGACACGGCCCAGACUCCUACGGGAGGCAGCAGUGGGGAAUAUUGCACAAUGGGCGCAAGCCUGAUGCAGCGACGCCGCGUGAGGGAUGACGGCCUUCGGGUUGUAAACCUCUUUCAGUAGGGAAGAAGCGAAAGUGACGGUACCUGCAGAAGAAGCGCCGGCUAACUACGUGCCAGCAGCCGCGGUAAUACGUAGGGCGCAAGCGUUAUCCGGAAUUAUUGGGCGUAAAGAGCUCGUAGGCGGUUUGUCGCGUCUGCCGUGAAAGUCCGGGGCUCAACUCCGGAUCUGCGGUGGGUACGGGCAGACUAGAGUGAUGUAGGGGAGACUGGAAUUCCUGGUGUAGCGGUGAAAUGCGCAGAUAUCAGGAGGAACACCGAUGGCGAAGGCAGGUCUCUGGGCAUUAACUGACGCUGAGGAGCGAAAGCAUGGGGAGCGAACAGGAUUAGAUACCCUGGUAGUCCAUGCCGUAAACGUUGGGCACUAGGUGUGGGGGACAUUCCACGUUUUCCGCGCCGUAGCUAACGCAUUA